UACGAAGGGGGCUAGCGUUGCUCGGAAUCACUGGGCGUAAAGCGCACGUAGGCGGCUUAUUAAGUCGGGGGUGAAAUCCUGGAGCUCAACUCCAGAACUGCCUUUGAUACUGAUGAGCUUGAGUUCGGGAGAGGUGAGUGGAACUGCGAGUGUAGAGGUGAAAUUCGUAGAUAUUCGCAAGAACACCAGUGGCGAAGGCGGCUCACUGGCCCGAUACUGACGCUGAGGAGCGAAAGCGUGGGGAGCGAACAGG
rnacentral:rRNA from 1 species